rnacentral:ncRNA from 12 species
CGUGGCCUAAUGGACAAGGCGUCGCCCUCCUAAGGGCGAAGAUUGCGGGUUCGAGUCCCGCUGG